ACCUUCACACUAUAAAUUAUCCGCUAUAAACGUAACUAGUGGUUUGGCCUUCUCAUACAUAGCCUGUUUGGCCACACUUUUUUUCUUCUUAUUUUCUCCUUAAAAAAAAGGAGGGCCAAACAGAAUUUUUGCAAAGUCCUUGACAAAUUAAGCAACUUAUAUUUUAUGUACAAAACUUAACAAAAGUAGAAGUUGUUAAAACCAACUUUAAAAUAACUUCUCGGCAUUUAUAUGGUGUUAUAUAGUUUUACGGUAUUUUUGGUCAUAUAUAUUAUUUUCUUUUUUUUGAAGGAUGGUUAUUUUUAUUUUUUUGAAGGAUGGUCAUAUAUAUUAAACUUAUCUGAACAUGUCUUACAUUUUUUCUAUGUGCCACUCUUUUAAUUUCUAUUUAUUUAUUUCUAUCACUUGCCACUCUUUUAUUGAUUUCGAUUUAUUGUAUUUUUUGAGUCAAUU
rnacentral:lncRNA from 1 species